rnacentral:rRNA from 1 species
AUUGAACGCUGGCGGCAUGCCUAUCACAUGCAAGUCGAGCUGAUCGGCGGACGGGUGAUUAAUUCCUAGGUAUCUGCCUGGUAGUGGUGGAUAACGUCCGGAACCGGUCGCUAAUCCCGCCUACUACCAGAUGAGCCUAGUUCGGAUUAGCUCGUUGGUGGGGUAAAUGCCUACCAAGGCGACGAUCCGUAACUGGUCUGAGAGGAUGAUCAGUCACACAGGAACUGAGACAGGGUCCAGAAUGCUGCGGGAGGCAGAAGUGGGGAAUAUUGGACAAUGGGCGAAAGCCUGGUCCAGCAAUGCCGCGUGUGUAAAGAAGGUCUUAGGAUUGUAAAGCUCGUUAAGUUGGGAGGCGUUACGGACAGGAUGAGCACCGGCUAACUUCGUGGCAGCCGCCGCGGUAAUAC